GAUGAACGCUGGCGGCGUGCCUAAUACAUGCAAGUCGAGCGAACAGACGAGGAGCUUGCUCCUCUGACGUUAGCGGCGGACGGGUGAGUAACACGUGGAUAACCUACCUAUAAGACUGGGAUAACUUCGGGAAACCGGAGCUAAUACCGGAUAAUAUAUUGAACCUCAUGGUUCAAUAGUGAAAGACGGUUUUGCUGUCACUUAUAGAUGGAUCCGCGCCGCAUUAGCUAGUUGGUAAGGUAACGGCUUACCAAGGCAACGAUGCGUAGCCGACCUGAGAGGGUGAUCGGCCACACUGGAACUGAGACACGGUCCAGACUCCUACGGGGGGCAGCAGUAGGGAAUCUUCCGCAAUGGGCGAAAGCCUGACGGAGCAACGCCGCGUGAGUGAUGAAGGUCUUCGGAUCGUAAAACUCUGUUAUUAGGGAAGAACAAAUGUGUAAGUAACUAUGCACGUCUUGACGGUACCUAAUCAGAAAGCCACGGCUAACUACGUG
rnacentral:rRNA from 1 species